CAGGAAGUCUGUGACAUUUUCCAGCCUCCCCCAUCCCUCCUGGUUCUGAAACCUCGAAUAAUAAUCGCAGCCUUUUCCCUUUUUCUACUUCUUGCUUCUGAAAUGGACGGACCAAGACACCGUCUUUCCUCAGCAUGCGGGCAGUGCCAGCCCCGGGCUGGGAGCGUGCAAUCCCAACCUCCACAGCUCACCAGCUGCCUAACCUCUGGGGACGUCAGCAUUCCUUCCUGGAACAAACUAGGACCUACCUCAGCCUAAGAAGAGACAGAUGAUCUCCAAGUGCUCUGUGCCUGGCCAGAAGCUGCUGUGGGCAGUUCUCUGAGAAGUGUGGGUGGCUUCAGUUGUGGUUUGGCAGUGAAACGUGCCAUGGAAAUACCACAGCCUGAAAAACUCCAUGGUUAUGGAAGGUGGGUGGACUGUGUUGGGAGAAAUCCUCCUUGGAGAUGAAGAUUUGCUGAUAACAUUCUGAAUAAUUGUCUUGUGAAGAGACAGAAGUCUUUGCUGUUUUCUCUGCAGAAAGCUUUAAACAAAGGUGCAUGAAGAAGACAGAAAAUUGGAGGAGAGUUGAAGCAAAUAAAGAAGUGGAUGCCACCGGAAACUUUUUGGGGAUAAAAAGGAGGAGGAUUUGGAUGCAUCCAGUGGGAUGGUGUAAAUGGAAACGCCUCUUCCAACUUGUCAAGCCACCCCUUGCGCUGUCCCUUUUUAUUAAUGUGGUGCACAGGCGAUGCCUUCCUGGAGACCUUUUUCCCCCUCCAAUAUAUUGAAUAAAUUCUACAUCAGGAAGGAAAGUAACCUGCAAUAAUGAACCAUCAGCAGCUGCUGGAGCCGUGUCCAUCCUCGGGGACGUGCGCGUGAAGCGUCACUUGGAUUUUCACCGCUCUGAAAACGGAGAAUAAACCACCGGUGUAAUCCAGGAGAAACAGGAAGGAAAGUGACAUCUGAGCAGCCCGCAGGCUGUCCUCCUACGCCUGAAACAACUCCUGUAAGUGUGAGGGAACUGGUGAAAUGUGUUCCCUCCUGCCCUGCAAUGUUGAUCCCUGGCACUGCGAGGAUUAGCAAGUGGCCAAAAGCAUCAGGAGGUGACCUUGCUCUGCCAUAAGAUCCCUCCUCGCAGGCCUGGGCUGCCCAGGGGAAGCUGGCAGCAGCACCCUGUGGACCAGCUCUCUCUCUAUUGAACGCUGAUGGAAAAGAAGAGUGCUUUCCUCCUGCCUACUUAAAUCUUUGGCUGAGUCUCACGGAAAAACAGUCACACUUACUGCAGCUCCCAGAGCCUUCAAAUCAUCAGGGGAGAGGGGAGGAGGGAGCUGCAGAGGGAAGAAAA